rnacentral:lncRNA from 1 species
CCCUGUGUGCUUUUGUUUGUGUUGUGGCUGUGUAGUUCCGGAUCUAGGUAAGUUUUGGAUCCAUGGAUCCAUGGUUCAUCUAUUCUUGGUGUUGUCGGUGGAUCCGUGGUAGGUGCAUGUUGCUGUCGUGUUUGUUUCUAGUCCGCCAUGCCUAGCGCUCCAUUUCCCAUCCUUCUGCUCGCCUGAGUUAUGUAGGAGCUUGUUGUAUGUGGGGGUUCUAAUCCAUCUGCUUGUUGUGGUCCUAUUCUCCCAUGCUUGUAGAUGUGGAGACAGGCGUAGGUUGUUUAUUCUGAUGUAGAUAUAGAGGUAGGGGAAGUUAUAGUUGCAGCGGUGGUUAGCCCUAUCAAUUUUAUUUCUGCCGGCCUGGGUGUCUGUUCCUUUGUCAUUAGAUGUAGUUGCAGAUGAUCUAGCCUGAUUUCUGCCUGCUUAUGCAGUUUAGUUGUAUUUGCUGUUAGCUGCUGCCUGCUGAUGUUUGCUGUUGUAGUCCCUGGAAUUCAUUAUGAUUUUUUGUGUUAGAUGUAGGUGUUCAUUUCCCCCGGUACCUGAAUCUCUCUGAAUUUGUGUGUACUAGGCUGCAGUGUUGUUGUAGUGUCAGUCCAGGAAUCUCUCUGAAUUGCAUGCUUCUUUACAGUGUAUAUUUACUCCAGACUUGAAGUGUAACUUACCCCUAGAAUUACAGUGUAUCCCCAUCCAGAAUUGCGGUGUAAUUUAACCCAUAAUUACAGUGUAACUUACCCCAUAAUUGUAGUGCAUUUACAGUGUAUCCCGAUGCUUCUUUAUUUGUUGUUACUCUGGAAUUUGUCCUAGUAGUACUGUGUAUUUUCCCCCUAAUUACAGUGUAAUCCUGAUGCUUCUUUCUUCAGUGUAAAUUUUGCUAUAAUUACUGUGUAAUAUGUCCGUAGAAUUACACUGUAGGUUACCCUGCAAUUACAGUGCAAUAUACCGUAAUUAGCGUGUGUUUUUGUGCUUUUUUAUUUGUAAUUACUGUGUAUUUUGUCCUAGAAUUACUGUAUAAUAUUUUCCCCCAUUACAGUGUAAUUCUCAUGUGUCGUAGAAUCACACUGUAGGUUAGCCUGCAAGUACAGUGUAAUAUACCAUAAUUACAUUGUUUUUUUCGUGCUUCUUUAUUUUGUAAUUACUGUGUAAUUUUCCCUAGAAUUACUGUGUAAUAUUUCCCCCCAUUACAGUGUAAUUAUCAUGCUUCUUUCAGUGUAAAUUGCAGUGUAUAUUUUUUCAGUGUAAUACUGCGCCAGUUUCUUUGUUAUUUACAUUGUAUUUUUUAUCAGAUGUUUUGCAUGCAUUCAUGUGGUUUUGCACUGUAAUAUCCCCCAUUCUUACUAUAUAAUUUAUCUUCAGUUCUUGGCAGUGUACUUCCUCUACCUUUUCAUUGUAAGUUGCCCUAAUUAUUGUGUAUUUUUAGUUUUUUACUCAGAGUUUCACUGUAUUUAGGUUGGUUUUUACACUGUAUUUAAGUGAUUCUUCCACUAUAUUAAUAUGCCCCCAUUACUCUAUAAUUCCCCUGAUUGCUGCCUUUCAAUGUAUUAUUUGUUGUGAGAUUUCCCUUGUAAUUGAGCCCCUUACUCUAUAAUUUUCAGCUUUCUUUAAUUUUCUUUCGUCUGUCAUGUAUUAUGUUUUGUUAGGUUUAGGUCAAUGUGGAGACUACGGGAAGUCUCUCACAAUGAUGUUUUGGUAGUUUCUUCUAUUGAGAGGGCUGAUUCUUUGAAUGAUCCUUUUGUGCCUAAUGACUUUGUGGAAGAUGGUUCUAAUGCUAUGUCUUUGGUAGUUAUUUUUGUCUUGUUCUCUACUUUCAUUUUCGUUUUUAUUCUUUCUUUCUAUUUAUUAAAAUUUCUGUUUGUUGACUGAAUUAUUGUUUAGGAUCUUUCUAGUGAUGAUAGAGGUUUUGAUAAAACUAUUUUCAAUUUCUAUGUGAAUCAUGUGAGUCUUUCUGAUCUAGUUACAAUUAAUGACUUAUCUUUUUUAUUCACAAGAAUUACAAUGUAAUUUAGCCUAAAAUUACAGUGUAGUAUGCCCCUAGUAUUACAGUGUAAUGUAUCCAAAAAUUUCAUUGCAAUCCCCAUGCUUCCUUUAUGUAAUUGCAGUGUAAUAUACCCUAGAAUUGCAGUGUAAUUUAGCCCAGGUUUUAGUGUAAUCCCAAUGCUUCAUUUUUUUAAAUGACAGUGUAAUUUUCCCAGAAUUACAGUGUAAACUCCAUGCUUCAUUUAUGUAAUUAUAGUGUAAUUUUCCCCAUAAUUACAGUGUAAACUUCAUGCUUUAUUUAUGUAAUUAUAGUGUAAUUAUUCCCCGAAUUGCAGUGUAAAUUUUCCUAGAAAUUCAGUAUAAUUUUUCUUCUUUAAACAAAGUAGUGUAAUUUUCCCGAUGAACCUCUGUAUUACUUGGUAUUUGGGCUUCAUUCUUGUUCAGAUUUGCUUGAAUUACAGUGGAUUUUAACUCUGCUUUGUGUGAUUAUCCUGUGUAGUCUCUUGGUUAUUAUCAUUGUAAUCCACUAGUGUGAUUAUUCAUUUCUUCACUGUCCAUGUGUACCAGCACUGUAACAAGCUCUACUUUUGAUUGUCAAUAUUAAUGCAUUCAUCUGAUAGGACUUGUGUUCUUUAUGCUGAUAGGUCUGUCUCUGUAUUCAUGACUUCAUCUGAACUUGCAUGUAUCUCUCUACUUAUUCUGUUCAGCUUUUGCUUGAAUUUCCGGUGAAUUUUAACUCUUUGAAUUACAAUGUAAUACCUCUUAAUUUCUCUGUAAUUUCCACUAUAUUUGUAGUGUAAUAUUCCCCAGGAUUACAUUGUAAUAUACAUACCCCAAAUUUAUAUUGUAAUAUCCCCCGGAAUUACAUUGUAAUUCUGAAUUGUAUUAAAUAAUGCUGGAAUACAGUGUAAUAUUCCCCCAGUUUUCAUUGUAUGUCAUGUAGGUAUUACACUGGAAUUCAUCUCAUUUUUUCCAUGAAUGUCAUGAGUUGUCUAACUCUGUAAUUUCCCCUGAGUUCAUGUUAGCUACAUUGCCCUGUAUCGCAGCAAAGAUUUUUUCAUGUGUACUACAACACAACUUUUUUCAUGUAAUUUCCUCAUGGUUCAUGUUACCUACAUUGCCCUAUACUGCAGCAAAGUUUUUUUUCAUGUGUACAUUACACUGGAAUUCAUGUUGGUGUAGUGUUUUGACAGUGAAAUAUUAACAGUUUUACCUUCCGACAGUUAGAAUUUUUCCCCUGACGAUUCCAAAAUUCUCACUAGAUUGUAUGAUGGUUUUUUUGCAGGCUAGUUCAUGUAGCAGGUGUAUGUAGAGCAGCAGGGUGAGGAAAAACAUGGAAGAGUUCAAUAGAAGUGUGAUCAAAAGGAGUAGGACAUUUCGUGAGCUGUGGACCGUCUCUUGGAUGAUCUUCCUUUGUCCACCACCAAUUAUUCAGAUAUGUUCUUCCCCCUUGCUUCUCUCCAGGUACUUGCCCCUCUGAUGUGCCUCUCUGACUUGUUUUUGUUCUUCCUUCUUCUCACUCCCUCUCUCCCAUGACGCCUCUCUGAUGUUUUUCUACUCUUUCUUCUCAUUUCCCCUCUCCCAUGGGCCAUGGCGCCUCCCAGAUGACUUGUGUGAUGCAAGUUAAAGGAGGGUCCUGGGAGACGCCAGUAUUCUGAUGAAUUUUGUUCCUUUUCUUUGUCAGGUGAUUUGUUGUCCAGGAAAGGAAAAAAGAGCGUGGGCAACGGUCCAGGAGGGUUUGGUGAUAGUUGCCUUGUUUUGUUUCGGUUAUUAGUUAGAACCGGGUCAGAUUUUAGCCACACGACCCCUUUUUUGGAAAUACAAGCAUACAAUUGUCCAUGGUAUUUGGACAUAGGUGUCAGCACUUGAUUUAUCAGGAAAUUGACUAUAAUAUAGUGCUUUUUACCUUUGUAUUGGAUGACUUUCUCUGUUAUUUAACAUGUUUACCUCUGACCCGGGUUUGAUGUUUACCCCCGACCUGUUUAGGCGUUCUUUUUUGCUUUCUGUUGAUUUUUCUGCUCAUAGAGGUGUAAUGUGUUGAUUGGUCAAGAAAUUUGACUGUUUUCGAAUUGAAAAACAGUCAAAU